AGUUCAAGCAUCAAAAUAAAGCUUUGAUCAAUUUGAAUCAAGUUCCAAGCAAUGAGUUCUCAAGUCAAGUUCAAAUAGUUCAUUGUACUACUCAAUUUGGCUCAAUUAAAAUCCUGGAUAAUAACAAAAAGAGGGUUUCUACUGGACAUAGAAUGACAGAACUCAUAACACAGUCUCAGCUCCUAGAGUUAUCUAUUGGGUUAAGCUUUCUUCCUUUGACAUUGCAACCUAAAGCCCUGCAAACAUGACAUUUCACGUCACAUAGAUUAUAAAGCCACCGGUUGGAUAUUUCAGAUCUAUCAAGCAUUCAACUUUAGAUAGCACCAAACAAGAAAAAACAAGUUACCAAACAAUUUAAAGUUGGGAGGGUUCAUGAACUGAGAUUAAAUUGUCACAAGUAGAAACAAACCCUCUGUUCUCUUG
rnacentral:misc_RNA from 1 species